GAGCAAACAGGAUUAGAUACCCUGGUAGUCCACGCUGUAAACGAUGUCGAUUUGGAGGUCGUGACCUUUUGAGUUGUGGCUUUCGUAGUUAACACGUUAAAUCGACCGCCUGGGGAGUACGGCCGCAAGGUUAAAACUCAAAUGAAUUGACGGGGGCCCGCACAAGCGGUGGAGCAUGUGGUUUAAUUCGAUGCAACGCGAAGAACCUUACCUACUCUUGACAUCCAGAGAACUAUAUAGAGAUAUAUGGGUGCCUUUACAGGAACUCUGAGACAGGUGCUGCAUGGCUGUCGUCAGCUCGUGUUGUGAAAUGUUGGGUUAAGUCCCGCAACGAGCGCAACCCUUAUCCUUUGUUGCCAGCGAUUAGGUCGGGAACUCAAAGGAGACUGCCGAUGAUAAAUCGGAGGAAGGUGAGGAUGACGUCAAGUCAUCAUGGCCCUUACGAGUAGGGCUACAAACGUGCUACAAUGGCGUAUACAAAGAGAAGCGAUCUUGCAAAAGUUAGCAAAUCUCACAAAGUAUGUCGUAGUCCGGAUUGGAGUCUGCAACUCGACUCCAUGAAGUCGGAAUCGCUAGUAAUCGUGGAUCAGAAUGUCACGGUGAAUACGUUCCCGGGCCUUGUACACACCGCCCGUCACACCAUGGGAGUGGGUUGCAAAAGAAGUAGGUAGCUUAACCUUUUGAAAAGGAGGGCGCCUACCACUUUGUGGUUCAUGACUGGGGUG
rnacentral:rRNA from 1 species